UUCACAUUCAUAAUCGACAAGUACCUUAGUAUAAAAUCAUCUAAUUCUUUUUCAAUUUGUUUCUCCAUUUACUUUAUUUGCUUCUAUUUUUAACUUCAAUUUCAUUACUGAUACCUUCAUGCCUAAAUCUGUGAUGAAAUUAUUUCUUCCAACCAGUAUCGGUAAUCACAUAUAUAUAGUUCUUUAAUGCUUCUUUAAUGCAUGUUUUGGGCGUUCCAACAAUUGAAAGAAAGCUAUAAAAUGAUUUCUUAUGACAUAAUCUUUAUGCACUAAUAAUCUCUUUGUAUUUUCAUCACUGAUUACAAAUUUAGUCUCUUUAUUUUUGUGUCACUAAUAUGUGAUUUAAAAGAUCGUUAGAUAAAAUUGUUUGUACUUGACAGCCUAAAAAUUAUUGAGAGUAGUUGCAGUCAAUUUUUUAGUUUCAUAUUAUUGCUAGGGAUGUUCAGAAGAAGUUUUCUGUUAUAUUUACAUGUUGCUGUUGCUGUUUUAAUGUUGAACUUUGAUUGAUUUGGUAUGCAGGUUUCGGCUGCUACUGUUACUUUUAAUGCAGCUCCUGCUGUUGGUGCAACUGAUUUAGUAGUUGUGAGAUUAGUCUGUAGGUUUGUGGUUUUUUCUUUUGGUCCAUAUUGUUGAUCCCUUGCAUUGUUGGUCCAUAAACAUAUGCUAAUAGACAUUAGCAUCUCUUUUUGGCAGACAAAUGAAACGACAGUUAGGACAAUGUAUUUUUGACAAGCUGUUUCAACAGCCAUUGUAAUAUAUAUUUGAAUAUUACCAGAACACCUAUAUUAAUGGUAAUGUUUGUAAACCAAGAUCUAUGUUAGUUCCAAACUGAAUUCUCUAUCCUUCAAGACCUGCAGAUUCUAUUCCAAAACCCGCAGCAACCCGCGGGCACACAUGCUAUUGUAUCCUAUAUUGCUCUUUGACUUUGUACAUUGAACGGGAUGCGGACAAUAUUGAGCCCUAAAUCAAGUCAAAUCAUACAAUUGAAUGCCCAGCACUUGGAGUCCAGCUUUGUGUAAAGCUUGUACCAAUGAUGCAACCUUUAUUGUGAGGUAGAAACAAUGUAAGCAGGCUUUUGGAGAACAAUGCGAGCAAGCAGAUUCUGCUAUAUGCCUAGCAUAAGUCUGAAUGGGUGAUUCAACCAUAGAAGAUAAAGGGAAAAGUAUGCAGAAGUAGAAUAUUAUACUAGGUAGCUUUCUAAUAGGGAAAUAUAUAAAAGACCUGUUCUUAGAGGCCACUUUUGUAUAGAUGUUUUAGGUAGUAGUUUUUUGCCUUGUGAGUUGGUUGAAUUGAUGCUCAUUAUGUUUGUGUAUGGAACAAUUAAGGAUGUUUUUGUUAGCUAUAGUGCAGAUUGAAUAAUAUAUAACACUUGUGUAGUUUCUAGAGUA